UACAGAGGUCCCAAGCGUUGUUCGGAUUCAUUGGGCGUAAAGGGUGCGUAGGCGGCGCGGUAAGUCGGGUGUGAAAUCUCGGGGCUUAACUCCGAAACUGCAUUCGAUACUGCCGUGCUUGAGGACUGGAGAGGAGACUGGAAUUUACGGUGUAGCGGUGAAAUGCGUAGAUAUCGUAAGGAAGACCAGUGGCGAAGGCGGGUCUCUGGACAGUUCCUGACGCUGAGGCGCGAAGGUCAGGGGAGCAAACGGG
rnacentral:rRNA from 1 species